AGCCUCGAAUGGAGCCGCUGAGCGCCUGGUACAAACUACGAAGACUACCCUGUUGAAACAAGAGACAUGAGGACUAAGCAAGAACGCGAAACUGCACUACGAAACGGCCGGAGAGGUCGGGGAGAGUCGUUUAUAGCAGGUGACAAAGUACUUGUAAAAACGACUAGAGGCGAGGAAGUGUCCUGGGAAGAAGGGCUGGUAACUCAAGUUGUGAGCCCCACUACAUAUUUGGUGAAUGUGAAUAAUCGAACACGGUUCAUCCAUAUGGACCAUCUCCGUGCAAGUUGGGCUUCUUCGACUGGGUCUGUUUUUCCUGAGAUCCCAGCUCCAACACCGAGCGCCACAACGGAAGCAGUCCCGGAGGGCAGCCGCGCUGGUCAACUACCCAGGGCGGAAUCUCCUGCUCCGAGGUUCCACGCCGCUGAGCUCCCGAGUCAAGGCACCGGCUCGGUUCCACACCCAGAGCAGCUCCUCGAGGUGCCUGAGCCCGAUGAUCGACAGCACACUCAACACAACGCUUCUGCCUCCGAGCCUCCUGCAGCUGCUCAGCAAGAUCAAGGCGACGGAUCUGCCUCUGCGUCUUCCACAGCAACAACGCUUCGAAGAGGAAGCCGGACCCGGAAAGCACCGGACCGCUACCAAUCGUACGAGUUUCGUCGUCAAGCCAAGUAGACUCGACCGUAAUGACAUGUAUGGCGGUUUUAAAGGCGGAAGGAAUGUUACAUCUGUAAAGGUCGCAUGUGAUUCGCCCAACGUUAUUACGUCACUCUUGCUUACGUCUAUAAAACAGACUGUCUGGCCGUAAUAAAAGUUCAGUACGUUCCAGCUA